rnacentral:tRNA from 1 species
GACCCUGUAGCUCAAAUGGAUAGAGCAUCGGUUUCCUAAACCGACUAUCCCAGUUCAAUUCUGGGUGGGGUCA